AUCCAUAGGUUAAUGAGGCGAACCGGGGGAACUGAAACAUCUAAGUACCCCGAGGAAAAGAAAUCAACCGAGAUUCCCCCAGUAGCGGCGAGCGAACGGGGAGGAGCCCAGAGCCUGAAUCAGCAUGACCGCGUUGAUCGGUAUUCUCCAGCAUAUCCGUGUUCUGCCAGUGGUCAUCCGCGCUAUUGGUUUCCUGCUGUCCAAAGUAAACGGUAUGGGCAAACUGGAGUCUUUUAACGCCGUCAGCUCGCUGAU
rnacentral:rRNA from 1 species